CAACUUUCAGCAAUGGAUCUCUUGGCUCUCGCAUCGAUGAAGAACGCAGCGAAUUGCGAUAUGUAAUGUGAAUUGCAGAUCUACAGUGAAUCAUCGAAUCUUUGAACGCACAUUGCGCUCUUCGGUGUUCCGAGGAGCAUGCCUGUUUGAGUGUCAGUAAAUUCU
rnacentral:rRNA from 1 species